rfam:Schistosoma rodhaini strain Burundi genome assembly, scaffold: SROB_scaffold0001901
AUCCAGCUGACGAGUCCCAAGCAAGACGAAACGAGCGUCCUGGAU